AUUGAACGCUGGCGGCAUGCCUUACACAUGCAAGUCGAACGGUAACGGGCCUUCGGGUGCCGACGAGUGGCGAACGGGUGAGUAAUGUACCGGAACGUACCUUUCAGUGGGGGAUAACGUAGCGAAAGGUACGCUAAUACCGCAUAUUCUGUGCGCAGGAAAGCAGGGGAUCGCAAGACCUUUCGCUGAUUGAGCGGCCGAUUUCAGAUUAGCUAGUUGGUGAGGUAAAGGCUCACCAAGGCGACGAUCUGUAGCGGGUCUGAGAGGAUGAUCCGCCACACUGGAACUGAGACACGGUCCAGACUCCUACGGGAGGCAGCAGUGGGGAAUUUUGGACAAUGGGGGCAACCCUGAUCCAGCCAUGCCGCGUGAGUGAAGAAGGCCUUCGGGUUGUAAAGCUCUUUCGGCCGGGAAGAAAUCGCAUGGGCUAAUACCCUGUGCGGAUGACGGUACCGGCAUAAGAAGCACCGGCUAACUACGUGCCAGCAGCCGCAGUAACAC
rnacentral:rRNA from 1 species